AGGAUGGUGGCUUAACAGCAGAGCAUCUGCCUUGCGUGCAGGAGGUCCCAGGUUCAUUCUCUGGCCUCUCCA